rnacentral:rRNA from 1 species
AUUGAACGCUGGCGGCAGGCCUAACACAUGCAAGUCGAGCGGUAACACAGGGAGCUUGCUCCCGGGUGACGAGCGGCGGACGGGUGAGUAAUGUCUGGGAAACUGCCUGAUGGAGGGGGAUAACUACUGGAAACGGUAGCUAAUACCGCAUAACGUCGCAAGACCAAAGAGGGGGACCUUCGGGCCUCUUGCCAUCAGAUGUGCCCAGAUGGGAUUAGCUAGUAGGUGGGGUAACGGCUCACCUAGGCGACGAUCCCUAGCUGGUCUGAGAGGAUGACCAGCCACACUGGAACUGAGACACGGUCCAGACUCCUACGGGAGGCAGCAGUGGGGAAUAUUGCACAAUGGGCGCAAGCCUGAUGCAGCCAUGCCGCGUGUAUGAAGAAGGCCUUCGGGUUGUAAAGUACUUUCAGCGGGGAGGAAGGCGAUAAGGUUAAUAACCUUGUCGAUUGACGUUACCCGCAGAAGAAGCACCGGCUAACUCCGUGCCAGCAGCCGCGGUAAAAC